AGAACUUUGAUCAUUGGCUCAGGACGAAACGCUGGCGGCGUGCCUAAUACAUUGCAAGUCGAGCGAGCUUGCCUAGAUGAAUUUUAGUGCUUGCACUAAAUGAAACUAGAUACAAGCGAGCGGCGGACGGGUGAGUAACACGUGGGUAACCUACCCAAGAGACUGGGAUAACACCUGGAAACAGAUGCUAAUACCGGAUAACAUCACUAGACGCAUGUCUAGAGUUUGAAAGAUGGUUCUGCUAUCACUCUUGGAUGGACCUGCGGUGCAUUAGCUAGUUGGUAAGGUAACGGCUUACCAAGGCAAUGAUGCAUAGCCGAGUUGAGAGACUGAUCGGCCACAUUGGGACUGAGACACGGCCCAAACUCCUACGGGAGGCAGCAGUAGGGAAUCUUCCACAAUGGACGAAAGUCUGAUGGAGCAACGCCGCGUGAGUGAAGAAGGGUUUCGGCUCGUAAAGCUCUGUUGGUAGUGAAGAAAGAUAGAGGUAGUAACUGGCCUUUAUUUGACGGUAAUUACUUAGAAAGUCACAGCUAACUACGUGCCAGCAGCCGCGGUAAUACGUA
rnacentral:rRNA from 1 species